UGCGCAGGUGGUUUUGUAAGUCAGAUGUGAAAGCCCCGGGCUCAACCUGGGAACUGCGUUUGAAACUACAAGACUAGAGUGUGGCAGAGGGGGGUGGAAUUCCGCGUGUAGCAGUGAAAUGCGUAGAGAUGUGGAGGAACACCGAUGGCGGAGGCAGCCCCCUGGGUUAACACUGACGCUCAGGCACGAAAGCAUGGGGAGCAAACAGGAUUAGAUACCCUGGUAGUCC
rnacentral:rRNA from 1 species